UCCUACGGAUGAGCAAAGAAAGUGGUUUCUUGAGAUGGAAUCUACUCCUGGUAAGGCUGCUGUGAA
rnacentral:pre_miRNA from 1 species